rfam:Ciona savignyi cont_12180, whole genome shotgun sequence.
CCUGGGUUGGCCGAGUGGUUAAGGCGUUGGACUUAAGUUCCAAUGGACAAGUGUCCCCGCGUGGGUUCCAACCCCACACCCAGUA